AUGUUUGUUGAACCACUUUGUGAAAUUUACCGUAUUUUCCGCACUAUAUUGUAAGGUGCACCACAUUAUAAAGCGCACCUUCAAUGAAUGGCCUAUUUUAAAACUUUUUUCAUAUAGUGCGCAUUAUAGUGCGGAAAAU